ensembl:lncRNA
AACACCUACAGUUUGGCUGGCACACAACAUGAGAGCAGCAAUGAGGUGAACUGUCAAAGCAGUACUACUAACACAUCCAGUUCGGCUGGCACACAACGUCAGAGCAGAAAUGAGGUGAACUGUCAAAGCAGUACUACUGUAAGUUUAUCUCAAUUAUGAUUCUUCAGAAAUACAUGAUCAGUUUAUUUAUUACAAUAUAUCCCAUAUGAAAUGCUUAAGACAAACCACCUCUUUUCAAACUGUGACUGUUUUAUAAAAUAUUCAUUCUAAAGUGUAAAAUAUUAAUUUUUUGUCAGUCAGCAAGAACAACAAAAUAAAAAUCUGUAUUCUGAUUUAGUGUAAUUUUUUUGAUAGGAUCCAAUUUGUGGAAUCGUAGAAAAUGUAGGUAAUGCAGGAACAAGUAGCAUGGAUCUGUUUGCCUUUGCUGGUUCAGACGACAUGGCCAGUGAAGUAUUCCGUGUACAGCUGUCCUGGUCACCGAACACUAUACUUAGUACUGUUGAUGGUAGCCCCUCAGAUCAUGAAAUUAGUAGGCCCUCAUCCUUAUAUGUGCUUUGGAUGUCAGGUGUUCAAAUAGAGGAAUUAAUUGCAUCCAGUGUUGAAUCUUCAACUGACCAACUGGCUGCUACUCAGGACUUAGGAAGCAUCCCAAGUCCCCUCCAUUCCAGUGAUCAGGAUGUUGGCUUCUCCCCCUGCCCUGUUCCAGCUUUCUCACCACCAAUUGACAAUUCUUCACCCUCGUCACCACCAUGGUCUUUGAUUUCUCUUUUCCCUUUACUAUUGCCACAUCUCCUAGCCCAGUGGUCUUCAAACCUGGUCCUGGGAACCUGCCGCUCUGUACAUUUUGUCUGUAUUUUUUAUUUUACACAUUUGAUUCAAAUCAGCUUGUUAAGUGGAAGCUCCAUUAACUGAACCAACUGGUCUUUUAAGAGGUAAAUACAAAAUUUCCAGAGCUGUGGGAUUGAAACCGAUUGUUCUUGUUUGUAAAAUGUAAGAUUACACACAGAUUUACUAACAGCUUGCUCCAGCGCAAACCAUCUUUCGGGGUCACAAAAGUACUGUCAGGAUUUACCAAAGACACGCAGUGAAAAAAUAAUCAAUUUAUUGGUAUUUGUGCCAUUAUUUACAGGCCAAAAAAAACGUGACUCAUUUUGCACCUGUUUUGUCACACACACAUGAUUAUCAGUGGCUUUGAUGUGGUGUGUUCAAUAGAUCAUCGCUUUCCACUACCAAUGGCACUUUUAUGGAUUUGUGCUCUCACGCUAAUUUGCCCUGUUUAGUAAAUUUGGCCCUAAGUUUAAUACAGUUUGUUGUGUGGAAUUGUGUCUAGACUAAGUUAUGCAAUUAAAUGCAAUUAAUGCAGUUAUACUAAGUUAUGCAUUUACAGUGAAGUUUAUGCAUUAGAUUCUGAAGAUGAGGAGGAUGUGGUGAUGUUGACCUCACCUGUUUAUUCUGACAAUGAAAUUGAUGUAAUUAUGCAACCAUACCUUUAAAAGUCAUAAUAAUUUCUAUUAAUUUAUAAUAAUAAUAAUAAUUUUUGUUGUUAUUGUAAUGACUUAGGAUGACGUUUCUGCUGCUGACAUCAUCAGAACAUUUCAGAGGGAAAAUCUAAAUUUGGAAGAAAGGGUGAUUGUAGUGGCCAGAAGGAGGAAAAUUCUUCAUAGUGCAUGUACUGCACUGAAAACUAGCUACUUUGCAUGGCACAAAUCCCCACAAAUUGAAUUUGUAGGUGAAAGUGCUGAUGACUAUGGGGGACCUAGGAGAGAAUUUUUCAGGUUGGUCUUAACUAUUUAUCAUAUGUAUGUAAUAAUAUAUUUAUCAAAUAUUAUGUGAUGUCUUUUUUGGUGCAUCACACCAUAGCAUAGAA